AGGAUAAACGCUGGCGGCGUGCCUAAUGCAUGCAAGUCGCACGGAGUACUCUUUCGGGGGUACUGAGUGGCGAACGGGUGAGGAACGCGUGGAGAACCUACCCCGGCGUGGGGGAUACCCGCCAGAAAUGGCGGCUAAUACCGCGUACGGUCCAGGGGCGGAAGGCUCUCUGGAAGAAAGCAGUAAUGCGCGCUGGGAGGGGUCUGCGCCCGAUUAGCUAGUUGGCGGGGUAAUGGCCCACCAAGGCGGUGAUCGGUAGCUGGUCUGAGAGGAUGAUCAGCCACACGGGGGACUGAGACACGGCCCCCGACUCCUACGGGAGGCAGCAGCAAGGAAUUUUUCCGCAAUGGGGGCAACCCUGACGGAGCAACGCCGCGUGACGGAUGACGCCUCUUGGGGUGUAAACGUCUUUUUGCCGAGGGAGAGACAGGACGGUACUCGGCGAAUAAGGACCGGCUAACUACGCGCUAGCAGCCGC
rnacentral:rRNA from 1 species